CCUACGGGAGGCAGCAGUGAGGAAUAUUGGUCAAUGGUCGGGAGACUGAACCAGCCAAGCCGCGUGAGGGAUGAAGGUACAGAGUAUCGUAAACCUCUUUUGUCAGGGAACAAAGGCGGGGACGUGUCCCCGGAUGAGUGUACCUGAAGAAAAAGCAUCGGCUAACUCCGUGCCAGCAGCCGCGGUAAUACGGAGGAUGCGAGCGUUAUCCGGAUUUAUUGGGUUUAAAGGGUUGGCAGGCGGUCUGUUAAGUCAGCGGUCAAAGCCCGGGGCUCAACCCCGCCCCGCCGUUGAAACUGGCAGUCUUGAGUUGGAGAGAAGUAUGCGGAAUGCGCGGUGUAGCGGUGAAAUGCAUAGAUAUCGCGCAGAACUCCGAUUGCGAAGGCAGCAUGCCGGCUCCACACUGACGCUGAGGCACGAAAGCGUGGGUAUCGAACAGGAUUAGAUACCCCUGUAGUC
rnacentral:rRNA from 1 species